AUUGAACGCUGGCGGCAUGCUUUACACAUGCAAGUCGAACGGUAACAGGCCGCAAGGUGCUGACGAGUGGCGAACGGGUGAGUAAUGCAUCGGAACGUGCCCAGUCGUGGGGGAUAACUACUCGAAAGAGUAGCUAAUACCGCAUACGAUCUAUGGAUGAAAGCGGGGGACCGUAAGGCCUCGCGCGAUUGGAGCGGCCGAUGUCAGAUUAGGUAGUUGGUGGGGUAAAGGCUCACCAAGCCAACGAUCUGUAGCUGGUCUGAGAGGACAACCAGCCACACUGGGACUGAGACACGGCCCAGACUCCUACGGGAGGCAGCAGUGGGGAAUUUUGGAUAAUGGGCGCAAGCCUGAUCCAGCAAUGCCGCGUGCAGGAAGAAGGCCUUCGGGUUGUAAACUGCUUUUGUACGGAACGAAACGGCUCUGGUUAAUACCCGGGGCUAAUGACGGUACCGUAAGAAUAAGCACCGGCUAACUACGUG
rnacentral:rRNA from 1 species